rnacentral:lncRNA from 1 species
UCCUGAGAGUUUGCUGAACUUGCUAAUCAGCUUAAGGAGAUUUUAAGCUGAGACAAUGAGGCUUUCUAAAUAUACAAUUUCCAUAAAGAAACUCUCCAGUAAAACUGAUUGAAGGUCAUAUGACCGCAUUUGAGAAGAGGUCCUGCCCCAUACCCAGGAGGAAGGACUAAUUCUCAGAAGUUGUGAGUAAAACACUGGUUGUGAAGUUUAGUGAUGAUGGUAGCAAGAAAUGAAGCUGGUUUAACCUGAUUUUAAAGGGGGCUUUAUGCCUUUUAUUGUGCUGCUGUCUCUUAACUUCAAGCCCAUUCUCAUCACUCUGUUUUAUAAUAAUCUGCAAACCAUAUUACUGCUUUGCCACCUUGUCCUCUGUGAGGAUCUACCAAUAAAAGAUGCGAGAGGGAGACUGCACUUCGUCAACCUGGCAGUGGCAGUUUGUUCCAGAAGCAGCGGUUGAAUCCAGUUUGCAGUUUUUCUAAUGUGCAGAACCAGCCUUGUUGCUUUGCCUCAGAGACACUAGUACCAAGCAGCCGGUGAUUCCUCCUAAGAGGUCUGGGUCUUAGUCCUGCGGGGCCCCUUGUCUGAUGUCAGGAAUCAUCAUCAUCCCUCUCCUCAUAGGUUGAGUUUCAGCUCAGCAGGGGCCCCUUUUCCAAUCUGUUCAUGGUAAAGAAGGGCACACCAGUAUAAAACAAUACAAAAGUCUCAGUAAAGUGACCAUGAUGGAGACCCCAAGAAAGGGUUUUUUGUUGUUGUUAUGUUGUUUUGUUGUGUUGUUUUGUUUUGUUUUGAGACGGNNNNNNNNNNNNNNNNNNNNNNNNNNNNNNNNNNNNNNNNCUCUGCCUCCCGGGUUCAAGUGAUUCUCCUGCCUUGGUCUCCCAAGUAGCUGGGACUCCAGGUGCAUGUCACCAUACCUAGCUAAUU